rnacentral:rRNA from 1 species
GUCCUAGCCGUAAACGUUGGGCACUAGGUGUGGGAGGUAUCGACCCCUCCCGUGCCGCAGCUAACGCAUUAAGUGCCCCGCCUGGGGAGUACGGCCGCAAGGUUGAAACUCAAAGGAAUUGACGGGGGCCCGCACAAGCGGUGGAGCAUGUGGUUCAAUUCGACGCAACGCGAAGAACCUUACCAGGGCUUGACAUCCUCGGAAGCCUGCCGAAAGGCAGGCGUGCCCGCAAGGGAGCCGAGAGACAGGUGGUGCAUGGCUGUCGU